UUGCUAAGCUCCUUCUGUGCCAGGUGCCAGUGCUAAGCAUUAUGUAAUGUCAUUCUUACCACCCCGGGAGGGGGCACACAUUUCACCAAGGAGGAAAGCAGCUAAGAAGCCUCUCCCCCAGCCAGUGUCACCUAGCCACAAGGCAGGGGAGUCACGAUUCAAUCCUGGACUUCUCCAACGCUAGCACCCAGAUCAAGGUGUUAACAUGCUUGCUUGGCAGCCUGGGCAGUCUCUGAUUUUUAUUUUUUGAAAUGGAGUCUCGCUCUGUCGCCCAGGCUGGAAUGCAGUGAUGUGAUCUCGGUGACUUGUCCAUGUCCUUUGUUCAUUUUUCUUUUAGGUUGUUUCAUCUUUUGUCUUAUUGUUUUUAAGAGCUGGUUGGCUCUCUGUACAUAUGUGUAUAUGUAUUUGUUUCAAGUUAAUGUUAAUUGAACCCCGUCUCUACUAAAAGUACAAAAUUAGCUGGGUGUGGUGGCGCAUGUCUGUAAUCCCAGCUACUCCAGAGGCUGAGGCAGGAGAAUCGCUUGAACUGGGAGCUGGAGGUUGUGGUGAGCCGAGAUCGCGCCAUUGCACUCCAGCCUGGGCAACAAGAGCGAAACUCCAUCUCAAAAAAACAAACAAACAACAAAAAAAAACCAGAAACAAACAAAAAGAAACAGUCUUGGGCUGGGCGCGGUGGCUCACACCUGUAAUCCCAGGUUUCACCAUGUUGGUUAGGCUGAUCUGGAACUCCUGACCUCAAAUGAUCCAUCUGCCUCAGCCUCCCAAAGUGCUGGGUUUACAGAUGCGAGCCACCAUGCUCGGCCUAGUUUUGGCCUUCCUUGGGAGCCCCUGGGGCCUCUUUGAAGACAUGA
rnacentral:lncRNA from 1 species